rnacentral:rRNA from 1 species
GGGAACCGCCGGAUAGUUCGUGAGGUUUUGGCCCUCUCAAAAUCCAAUAACACCAAGCUAGUCUUCUUCUAUGAGACUAGACAGGAUGCAAUCAAGGUAGAGAAAAUGAGGUGGAGGCUAGGCCUAAAAGGCUUCCAUGGAGUCAGUAGUGAUGGAAGAAGCGGAGGGCUAGCAUUGUUUCGGGAUGAGAAUCUCAUAGUU